rnacentral:rRNA from 1 species
UGGGGAAUCUUCCGCAAUGGACGAAAGUCUGACGGAGCAACGCCGCGUGAACGAUGAAGGUCUUCGGAUUGUAAAGUUCUGUGAUCCGGGACGAAGGCAUCAGUUGAGAACAUUGAUUGAUGUUGACGGUACCGGAAAAGCAAGCCACGGCUAACUACGUGCCAGCAGCCGCGGUAAUACGUAGGUGGCAAGCGUUGUCCGGAAUUAUUGGGCGUAAAGCGCGCGCAGGCGGCCGUGCAAGUCCAUCUUAAAAGCGUGGGGCUUAACCCCAUGAGGGGAUGGAAACUGCAUGGCUGGAGUGUCGGAGGGGAAAGUGGAAUUCCUAGUGUAGCGGUGAAGUGCGUAGAGAUUAGGAAGAACACCGGUGG